ACAAUUGAGUCAAGCGUGAUAGUUUCUAUUCCUGAGUUUGACACAAGUUAAAGAUUUGUUACCACCUAGAACUAUGUUACCAUCUCACCCGUAGCUUCAUCCCUCAUACUCCUCACUUUCUAUGAAGGAAAUCAGGCAGCGUGGAAGUGUAAGUGAAGGCGAGACACCCAAACCACCAUAGGACGAGGUCAAAGCCAAGGGUUCCUUAGACAUGACUCCAGAUGGUUCGGAGAGGGUAGGAGUCGGGCUGCCACCUGUCUCUUUCAGUAUUUCAUCUGCAGUCUCAUCCUCCAAGGGUGAGAUAACC